rnacentral:rRNA from 1 species
CAAUAGCGUAUAUUAAAGUUGUUGCAGUUAAAAGCUCGUAGUCGGAUUUCGGGUCGGGCCGAGCGGUCUGCCGAUGGGUAUGCACUGUUUGGCGCGGCCUUCUUUCCGGAGACCGCGGCUACUCUUAACUGAGCGGGCGUGGGAGACGGAUCGUUUACUUUGAAAAAUUAGAGUGUUUAAAGCAGGCUUAUGCCGUUGAAUAUAUUAGCAUGGAAUAAUAAGAUAGGACUUUGGAACUAUUUUGUUGGUUUGCGUUACAAAGUAAUGAUUAAUAGGGACAGUUGGGGUAUUCGUAUUUCGUUGUCAGAGGUGAAAUUCUUGGAUUUCCGAAAGACGAACUACUGCGAAAGCAUUUACCAAGGAUGUUUUCAUUAAUCAAGAACGAAAGUUAGGGGAUCAAAGACGAUUAGAUACCA